GGGCCAGACUCCUACGGGAGGCAGCAGUGGGGAAUAUUGCACAAUGGGGGGAACCCUGAUGCAGCGACGCCGCGUGGGCGAGGAAGUAUUUCGGUAUGUAAAGCCCUAUCGGCAGGGAAGAAGAAAUGACGGUACCUGAAUAAGAAGCACCGGCUAAAUACGUGCCAGCAGCCGCGGUAAUACGUAUGGUGCAAGCGUUAUCCGGAUUUACUGGGUGUAAAGGGAGCGCAGACGGCAGUGCAAGUCUGGAGUGAAAGCCCGGGGCCCAACCCCGGAACUGCUCUGGAAACUGUGCGGCUAGAGUACUGGAGGGGCAGGCGGAAUUCCUAGUGUAGCGGUGAAAUGCGUAGAUAUUAGGAGGAACACCAGUGGCGAAGGCGGCCUGCUGGACGACAACUGACGGUGAGGCGCGAAAGCGUGGGGAGCAAACAGGAUUAGAUACCCCAGUAA
rnacentral:rRNA from 1 species